AAUCAACGCUGGCGGCGUGCCUCAGACAUGCAAGUCGAACGAUUAAACUUUCCUUCGGGAAAGAUAUAAAGUGGCGCACGGGUGAGUAACACGUAAGUAAUCUACCUUCGAGUGGGGAAUAACGUUCGGAAACGGACGCUAAUACCGCAUAAUGCAGCGGCAUCGCAAGAUGACAGUUGUUAAAGGAUUUAUUCGCUUGA
rnacentral:rRNA from 1 species